GGAGCAGAAAGGCACAGACAUUUUGACUAGGCUAUCAGAUUCAGAAAGCAGCUGUGAUGAACAGAGUCCCAGAAAGUGGAGAAACCGCUCCUGGAAUUGCACCCCCAAAGCAACAGGUACCUCUCCAGCAGAAGGACACAAUGAACACUCCUCAAAUACCAGAAAAAGGAAGACUCUGGAUGGUGGCCAUGAGAACCAUAGAUAUCCCAGAUCAAGCCCCUGCACACACAAGAGAAGAUUGACUGGACACAGGCAGAGGUCCCAAACCCUCAGGCCAGCAGCCUCC